GCUUCCUUACGCGGGCCACAGCCACGCUGCACCCGCGCCCGGCAGGGACCGGCUGAAGCUGACAGGGUUUAUUGUCGAUGCCCAUGUCCUGCACAUGGCCCUGUUCCCACAAGGGUGGUUGAGCAAUACACCUGGCAAGGCCCGGCCCCCAGGUGACCAGACACACUGCCAAGGAGCACGGGUCCCUGCAAAGCUGGCUGACCUGGAGGUCACCUGUCCCCUGCACUAGCCAUGAUGGAGGCACCUGAAUCCCAGGGUUCUCUGGGAAUAUGGAUGUCUUGCAUCGAAGGAAAGCUGUCAACUUCAUGAUCGUUUGCAGAUAUGGACAUUUCUAUUCUUUCUCCAGGUUAAAUGCUUCUGAUCACUCCUUUUCUAAAAUAAGAUUAGUACUCCAGUUGUCUUAGUGACAAUAAGGAACUUCUGACAUGUUCUCUCUACUGGUGGUAUAUUUGCAUGUAUUAAUAUCUUCCCCAAAAUGCAUUGCAUUUUUGUAAGUAAGUUGUACAGAAGAAAAUCUCUCUGACAGAAACAGGGAGAGAAUAUGUAGGACAGAGCCUAGAGCCUUAGGACUUGUUUUCCCCUUGUUUAUUUAUGUAGAGUUAUAUUUUAAAAGCAAUGCAGUUAUGCAAAGGCCGCAACACACCUGGGGGAAAGAGGCCCUGAGUUCUAACAAGUAACCUUGGAUUUAAACUAACAAUUACCUGUCAGUGAUUAAUUGAUAUUUAGGUCUCGUCUGUGAGCAGCUCCUUGCUUUGUUUACCUGUAUUUGUUUUUGACCAAAUAAUGCUUGAUCUGCUGAUUAUUCAUGGCAUUUGACAUUUGUUGAGAAUUAUGCUUGAUGCAUGUUUUUUUUCUUCUAUUUUAUUCACAUGUGAAAGCCUUAAAAUUCAAUCUGUGCUAUUCCAUCUCUCUGUGAAAGGUGAAACCAGACAUACUUGUUAAGAAUUUAAAAAGGAAUAAAGAAGAAAUGAAUAUA